rfam:Medicago truncatula strain A17 chromosome 3, whole genome shotgun sequence.
AAAACUUAGGUACAAUUCCUUAGGUGCUUUUCAUAUGGUUCUUAACUAAAAAUACAAUUUUUUUAGAGAUAACAAACUUUGAGAGAAUUAUGGAUUUAAGGAAAUCAUGGUGAAUUUAGGUUAGAACCAUACCAAAAGCACCUAAGGAAUUGUACCUAAGUUUU